UCAGGUAGAGAAUACCAAGGCGCUUGAGAGAACUCGGGUGAAGGAACUAGGCAAAAUGGUGCCGUAACUUCGGGAGAAGGCACGCUGGUGUGUAGGUGAAGUCCCUGCGGACGGAGCUGAGACCAGUCGAAGAUACCAGCUGGCUGCAACUGUUUAUUAAAAACACAGCACUGUGCAAACACGAAAGUGGACGUAUACGGUGUGACGCCUGCCCGGUGCCGGA
rnacentral:rRNA from 1 species